AAAGCUGUGAAGCGUGAGAUUGCUGCUGAUGCAAAAACAUAAGCAAGAGCAGGUUUUCCGUGGAGCGAAUGUCAAGUUAGGAAACUGGCGACAA
rnacentral:ncRNA from 1 species